UUUCUAAAAUUAGUCAUUUUUUAAAAUAAGAAACUAAGCAUUUGUUUAUGGUAAAACUUGCUUAAGACCAUCUCCAUUCUGCAGAAAGCCUUUUAUGAGGCAGGGAGUUUCAGAUAACAGUUCUUGCUCUUUGAAACACGUGGAAGGUAACUGCAAAAGAGCAUACAUUUCUCGGGAGAAAUCAGUGGGGGAAAAAAAGAUCAUACAGUCUACCCUCGCCACGUUCCAGCAUACUGUUCCUAUGCAUCCCUGGCAGCUGACUGUUAUUCCUGAGAUGAGUAUCUGUGGUUUCCUUUCAAUUUUGAUUCCUUCCAUUUGAAAGUAUUUUAAGUACUGCAAAAAGAAUUCUGCACUCUUUAAAUAAACUGAUAUUCACUGGGGUAUAUGAAACUGUUCUGCAAUAACGGCACAGACAAACUGAUUUGAAAGGUGGAAUACCAGUUUGGAAAGGUAAUUUAUAUUCUUUAUGCUAAAUUCCAUCCUGCACAGAGACCCAGAUGCCCACUAACAAUAACUAUUUGGUUGAAAGCCAAGGCAAAAUUCCUUCACUCCUAUAAAUAAAAUUUACAAAUCCCCAA